rnacentral:SRP_RNA from 16 species
ACGGCCAAGUUGGUCAGGACCAGGAAGCCAGCAGACCCAAUAGAAUGUGCUGUG